rnacentral:pre_miRNA from 1 species
ACGGGUUUCGCGAUAUGCGAACAAUAAAUUGCAAAAACUGUUCGUUGUCGAUGAAACCUGCCU